rnacentral:sRNA from 1 species
GCGACGCGGGGCCAUGUGCAGGACCCUAACGACAGGCGCCUCCGGCCCAUUUACGGUUUUAAAGGCAAUUGGUUUACAGAGAACUGGAAAGCAAGAGGAAGCCUUUACUCUUGCACAGGAGGUAGCAGCCCUUGAACCCACAGAUGACAACUCACUGCAGGCACUGACUAUCCUUUACCGGGAGAUGCACCGACGUAUGUUUCUUUCUUUUCAUUGUUUUUAAACUUGAGCUGAAAAUUUUGGAUAUUUCUGACUGUCUGUUUGCCCUUGUCUGAUUCCUCACUCAUGAUUUGAAUGGAUACAGUAGGUAGAAUAACGCAUUAGCCAGGGUUUGCGAGAACUGUAGAUAGAAAGGAUAGUUUACAUGCAUUAGGAUCCUUGAAUUGGAAUGAGGAUUAAAGUGACUUCAUUUGUGAUAUUUUGAUUUGCUAAAUGGAGGCUUCACCCUUAUUUUCACUUUUUAAUAUGGAAAAUUUCAAGCAGACAAAAAUAGAAUAGAAUAAUAAACCCCAUUGUUCUCAUUAUCCACCUUCAGCAAUUAACACAUGGCCCAUUUUAUUUUAUUUUUACCCUUUCCCCUGGCAGAUUACUUCAGAGCAUAUCCUAAGUAGU